rnacentral:rRNA from 1 species
GAUGAACGCUGGCGGCGUGCCUAAUACAUGCAAGUCGAGCGAACAGACGAGGAGCUUGCUCCUCUGACGUUAGCGGCGGACGUGUGAGUAACACGUGGAGAACCUACCUAUAAGACUGGGAUAACUUCGGGAAACCGGAGCUAAUACCGGAUAAUAUAUUGAACCUCAUGGUUCAAUAGUUAAAGACGGUUUUGCUGUCACUUAUAGAUGGAUCCGCGCCGCAUUAGCUAGUUGGUAAGGUAACGGCUUACCAAGGCGACGAUGCGUAGCCGACCUGAGAGGGUGAUCGGCCACACUGGAACUGAGACACGGUCCAGACUCCUACGGGAGGCAGCAGUAGGGAAUCUUGCGCAAUGGGCGAAAGCCUGACGGAGCAACGCCGCGUGAGUGAUGAAGGUCUUCGGAUCGUAAAACUCUGUUAUUAGGGAAGAACAAAUGUGUAAGUAACUAUGCACGUCUUGACGGUACCUAAUCAGAAAGCCACGGCUAACUACGUG